GACGAACGCUGGCGGCGUGCUUAACACAUGCAAGUCGAACGGAAAGGCCCUUCGGGGUGCUCGAGUGGCGAACGGGUGAGUAACACGUGGGUGAUCUGCCCUGCACUUUGGGAUAAGCCUGGGAAACUGGGUCUAAUACCGAAUAGGAUCAUGCUCUUCAUGGGGUGUGGUGGAAAGCUUUUGCGGUGUGGGAUGGGCCCGCGGCCUAUCAGCUUGUUGGUGGGGUAAUGGCCUACCAAGGCGACGACGGGUAGCCGGCCUGAGAGGGUGACCGGCCACACUGGGACUGAGAUACGGCCCAGACUCCUACGGGAGGCAGCAGUGGGGAAUAUUGCACAAUGGGCGCAAGCCUGAUGCAGCGACGCCGCGUGAGGGAUGACGGCCUUCGGGUUGUAAAUCUCUUUCAAUAGGGACGAAGCGCAAGUGACGGUACCUAUAGAAGAAGGACCGGCCAACUACGUGCCAGCCGCCGCAGUAAAAC
rnacentral:rRNA from 1 species